rnacentral:lncRNA from 1 species
GCUUAUCAGGAGAUGUAAUAGUUCAUUAGUGGCCAAAAGCGAGACAUGUACUUCCCCCAUUGAGUGAUGGCCCUCUACAAAUAGGUGAAGGUUACACUGUCCCCUAUGGAACAAUUCAUGAUGUCAAAGAAAAGAGUCCUCGAAAAUAAUAUGUUCGCUCAAUUUGUCGAGCUCCAACGAAAGCAAGUGAAGGAAUGGAAUCAACACCGGAAGGAAAAGAUGGACGUACCACCGGCACUCAAAGAAAGAGUAGAACUGAAAACCAACUCACCGACCUAAAAAAUAUGUCCGACAUGGAAUGGGCUAUUAGGUGGAUGCAAGAAAUGUCCCUGAUGGGCAUUGACUACGUGUAGAGGCACGGUAUACGAGUGCCUAACCUGUCACCAAACAAGUACGUGCCCUUUCCACACCCCGAUGAGAUCGAUGGGGAGCCGAGGAGGAAGACGAUGGUGGUGAUGACAACGAUCAUGACGAUGACAAUGGUGAUGAUGAUGAGGAGGAGGAGGAGCCUUUUCGAGCUUUGGACUACGGGGUAACAUUUUAGUCAGAACACCCCACGACUAUGGGAAUCAAAUUUCGCAGCCCAAGCCUACAGUGCCCGGCCCAACCUUCGAGUAGGAGGGCCACCAAGACCGCUGUGGGAC